rnacentral:lncRNA from 1 species
CUUCUACCUUUCUUUUCUGUAGGAACCUUAAGUUUUGCCACAGUCUGAGUAUGGACGCUUCUGCUGAAUGUUUUAGCUGUGAAUGCAGAAAAGGAAAAUUUUGUGCAACGCACAAAUUAUGGAGUUACUUUUGUUAAAGAGGCGGAUAUAGUCUUUGGAAGCAAACACUGGUUCCACACGUUCAAGAUUUCUAUUCAACACAAGAUUCAUAAAUUUUCCUAUCCAUCCUGUGAUAUUAUUCAUUAAAACUGCUUCAUUCUUAAUCAAGUCAUUUCACAUUUGUCCGCAUUGAAAACAGACGUCGCAUCAAAUGUUAACAGUACUGUGGAAAUAAUUCAUAAGCUGAUUCCAAAAGCGGAUUUCAAAAUUAAUACAACAAGUACACAAAGUAGGAGUAAAAGAGGAUUGUUCAAUUUCGUCGGAUCCAUUUCCAGAUCUCUAUUCGGCACAGCAACAGUGAAAGACGUUCAAAAGUUAGCCAGACAUGUAAACAUUCUAAUAAACAGGAGUAAUAAAUUUGCUAA